GCUUAAAUAAAGAUUGAAACCUAU
rnacentral:siRNA from 1 species